CCAUAGCCCCGAUAGCAAUGAAAAUCCCGCAACCUAGCGAUAGCAAGGUGAGGAAUUGUAAUGAAUAGCGGGAACAGAA
rnacentral:sRNA from 1 species